rfam:Schistosoma mansoni strain Puerto Rico chromosome 6, complete genome
AUCCAGCUGAUGAGUCUCAAAUAGGAUGAAACACCCAUCCUGGAU